GUAACAGAUCAGGCUUUGUCUUUGCCACAGUUUCUCCUGAGUCUCUUUGUUUUGAGUACCUUGCUCUGAUCUCCUUAGUGCAACUGCUUCUGUGAGCCUGUCCCCCUGGGAGUUUUCUGCAGCUCCAGCAUACUACUUGCAUCAGCUGUCCCCUGCCGGAUGCCCUCUGGAUUCCUUGUUUUAUCCACCCACUUUCCAAUCCAAGGACAAUCAGACUACAGAGAGUGCAAUCUCUGGUUUGGAUGCCUCACCCUUCCCUCCUUCUCUGAUGGCCACUGAUCUUGCUCCCCAUGUCCACGUAAGCUCCUGGUCCUAUUAUGCAGAUAAUCCUCUUGUGCAAUAUUGGACAAAGACAGAUGUAAUAUGGGUGAAGACAAAUGUAAUAUUGGUGAAGACAAAUGCAAUAUGGGUGAAGAUAGAUGUAAUAUGACAGAUGUAAAGUAUCAUCACUGCUUUCAAAACAAACAGUUUUUCCUGCCUUGUGCUGAAUUCUGGGGAGGGUGAGGGAAGAGUGAUUCAGGUUAAACUUGAGAAAAUUCCUGCUGUGGUGAGCACCUAUUGGUUCACAUCUGUGCCAGCACAAGUACACCUCGGUUCCCAAUCCCUGGAGCAAGUUGCAACUCUUUUAAUAAUCUUUGUGACUGUUUUGUGAUAUACAUCCGUUAAAUGCAUCUCUGCAUGACACACCUCUGUGACUCUUGUAAAGUAGACACCCCACCUGAUGGACAAGGGGAAGGAGAAGUAUGAAAGCUGAUGCAGCAUUUGACUUGCAUGCAUGUAUCAAUGACUGCUCUAAAAUUUUGCUUCUGGGUGCAGCUAAGUUGGGGAGUAAGCUGGCAAUUCAACCAAGAAGUGGGACAUGUUCAGGUGAAUGAAUGUGUUGUAGCCAAGUGAUACAAGUUUUGCCUGACUGUUUGAAGCAGGGAAUAUAUUGAAUUGGCAUUAACAAGGGUCUUUCAAAUAAAGUAUG